rnacentral:rRNA from 1 species
UGGGGAAUAUUGGACAAUGGGCGCAAGCCUGAUCCAGCCAUGCCGCGUGAGUGAUGAAGGCCCUAGGGUUGUAAAGCUCUUUCACCGGUGAAGAUAAUGACGGUAACCGGAGAAGAAGCCCCGGCUAACUUCGUGCCAGCAGCCGCGGUAAUACGAAGGGGGCUAGCGUUGUUCGGAAUUACUGGGCGUAAAGCGCACGUAGGCGGAUCGGUCAGUUAGGGGUGAAAUCCCAGAGCUCAACUCUGGAACUGCCUUUAAUACUGCCGCUCUGGAGUCCGGAAGAGGUGAGUGGAAUGCCGAGUGUAGAGGGGAAAUUCGUAGAUAUUCGGAGGAACACCAGUGGCGAAGGCGGCUCACUGGUCCGGUACUGACGCUGAGGUGCGAAAGCGUGGGGAGCAAACAGG